GUUGGUAUAUGCGCUAAUAUUUAGACGUAUCUAUACAAAGUAAAAAUUGAGCGGAAAAUGGAGAAACAAGGAAUGCCAAUAAUAAAGAGAAUUUCAAUUGACUUCAAGAAUGGUAGCCAAGACAUUUCCACAAGACUAAACUUGUUCCUAAACGGCUUGAAAAGUGACCCGUUUUUGCUAAAUACGUGUCUGCUUUACGUCCAUUACCUUAAUCAUAUAGAUACAGAGAUUGUGUUAGGAAUUAGAUGCUACUAAUAUUGUAAAGAACAAUCAAACGUGAAAAUAAUUUAAAGUGAGAAGAAUUCAACGCCAGGAAAAUUAAUUCAUUUACAGAUUGUUGCUAGGGACCAAAUCUCAAAUUUGCGUGAACUACUCUAAUAAAAACGAAUGACUAUGAUACAUAAUUCUCUGUAACAUUUCCAUGUAUAUCACCCUAAAUUAAUGUGAUUUUCUUUCCACUUUGAGAAGCUUCUGAUUGAUUCUGGAGAUUAUGCAAACAAGGUCCAAGUCCAACAGAGAGGGUGCAGCCUGUUUGUCGUCAUUAUUUUCAGAUAACAAAUGGUAUGGUGGCAGCAUAAAAUCCUCGUGGUCAAAAUCUACCGGUACUCACAAAUCCAGUUUGACCCCGUUCACAUAAAAGAACGAACAUUUAACAGCCCGGAAAUUGUUCCAUUAGCUUGGUCCGCUGAGCUUUCCGCGUAGAAUUCUAGCAGACCCAUAACCCAAGAAUAGGCUCAUAACUUAGACUAGAAUUGGGCAGGGGCCGCGCGAACGCAGGCCCCCUCUACCACAAAUUAUGACGUAGGCUCGACCACUUGGGCCGACCUUAGACGGGCGCCCCUCCCAAGUGCAAUGGAGGUCGCCAAUCUAGGCCAUGGGCCUUCAUGAUCACUCAUCGACCCCGUCCAGGUAAGUAUGGAUCCCGUCGUCCUAUCUUCAAGUUAUAUAGCCCACUAGUCCAAUAUUCAAUAAGUUUCCAACCGAUGUGGGAUGCACGAAUCUAUUGAAAUGUUGUUUUCCCCUUCGUACUACCAAUCUACUACCGUAGCUUUUAGUGUGCAGAAAAACAGAACCAAGUUCUUCUUUACUUGUUGCAGAAUAGAUAUGAGCUCUGGGAGAACAUCUUGUGGCUGUGCUUCCUUAGAGAUUUCCUCCAACCGAAGUCGUUCUUGUGCUUCUGCUGUGUUGAUUGCAGAUAUGGCAGCCUCUACCUAUUCGAUGGAGGGUCUUGGUGGUAGUGAUGCAGUUAUUUUUAGAUUUUCAUGAUUUCCUCAACUGUUUCUGCAUGAACAGAUGAUGGAUUUUUCUUGGCCUCCAUGGCCAUAUCCAGAAGUAAAAGUGAAUUGUAUCAGGUAUGGAGGGACCUCGAGCAUUGGCGAAGUUCUGGAGAUUGAUCCACGAAAAUUCCCUUGACUUACGUUUUUGUGAUGGAGACAAGUUACAUGGUGAGAAAGCGGAAGGCAUUCCGCAUUUGACAGGUGCUAAGCUCCAUUAAUGCUACAUAGCAUUAUUCAAAAUCUUUUUGUAUCUUUCGUAUAUGCAUGUUUAUAACACCCUACACAAAUGAGACAUAAUUCUGUGCAAUUCUGUUACUUUAAUUUUGCCCAAUCCAGUAUACAGAAAAAUAAAAUAGAAUUUCAUUUACAUGUUAGUGACUAAAUUUCAAUUUUACAUGAAAAUUGUACAUUUUGUGUCCAAAAUCACUAAAAUUUACGUGCAUUUAACAAUAGAUCUAUCAUUUUACUGUAAUCCCAAUUGGAUCAUGGAAUAAGAAUCUGUAUGAACAUAUGUAAUUUAUAUAGUGAUAAUUGAAAAAUAACUUGUGUAUGUAUUCUUGGGGGAUUUUCAGUAACUUAAUGAUUUGGUGUUCUCCUUGGACUAAAAUCGAUGUCAAUCUUAUCUAGGGACGGCAAUCGGGCUCGUCAAUUCUGGCCGCCCAUGACUUGGCCUGAAAAAGCCUGAGCUCACCCGAUUCGAGGCUCGAUUCUAUCAAGUCUCAUUUUGGGAUGCCGGGCUAAGCCCGAGCCGGCUCAUGUGGCUCGCUAGCUCGAGCUCACUGCCUUUGCAUAAUAAAAUAAAUAAAUAAAUAAUCAAAACAUUUUAUUGUAAAAAAUAAUAAUAACAAUAAUAAUAAUAAAUAAAUAAAUAAAUCGAUGAGCCUUGAUUUUUUGACCAAGCAAAAGUUCAGCUCGGGCUUGCAAAAAAAGUUUGGACCAUUUUACUCAAGCGUAGCCCGAGCCUCGAGCUUUGGUUAGGAAGCCGACUCGACUCGUUGACACCACUAAUCUUAUAUGACUAUUGUGCAACAAACAUGGUUUUCUUUUAUUCGAAUUAUGAAAUGUUUUAACUUUUUUUGUUCAAUUCCAACCUAUGAGUUCCAUUUAUAUACCCUAUCUACAAGAAGCACUGUGAUUAAUUAGUGACUUUUUGAAAUCCGGAUUGCAUUGUGCUGAUUGGGGGUGGGCAUGGAUUGGGUUAGAUCUUUUUUUUCCCAACCAAAAUCCAACCCAAUUAAUGGUUUAAUUCCAACCCAACAAAAACCGAUCAAGUUUGGGUGGGUUGAGUUGGUCGGUUUNNNNNNNNNNNNNNNNNNNNNNNNNNNNNNNNNNNNNNNNNNNNNNNNNNNNNNNNNNNNNNNNNNNNNNNNNNNNNNNNNNNNNNNNNNNNNNNNNNNNNNNNNNNNNNNNNNNNNNNNNNNNNNNNNNNNNNNNNNNNNNNNNNNNNNNNNNNNNNNNNNNNNNNNNNNNNNNNNNNNNNNNNNNNNNNNNNNNNNNNNNNNNNNNNNNNNNNNNNNNNNNNAAGUCCACUCGCCUUGUGCCUCAUGACACCUAGACCUAACCUGAACAGGCCCGUUAAGUAUUCGUAUGGGCCUGCAAAAAUAAAAUUGGUUAAAACUUGAAUUGGGCAGGGGCCGCGCGAACGCAGGCCCCCUCUACCACAAAUUAUGACGUAGGCUCGACCACUUGGGCCGACCUUAGACGGGCGCCCCUCCUAAGUGCAAUGGAGGUCGCCAAUCUAGGCCAUGGGUCUUCUUGAUCGCCCAUUGACCCCGUCCAGGUAAGUAUGGAGCUUGUUGUCAUACCUUCCUGUUAUGUAGCUCACUAACCCAACAUUCAAGUAGUUUCCAACCGAUGUGGGAUAAUUGAAUCUUCUUUACUUUCCAGAAAAACAAAACCUUGUUCUUUUGCAGAACAGAGGAGCUCUGGGAGAACAUCUUGUGGGGGCACUUAGAGAUUUUCUCCAACCGAAGGCGUUCUUGUGCUUCUGCUGUGUUGAUUACAGAUAUGGCAGCCUCUACAUCUUCAAUAGAGGGUCUCGGCGGCUGUGAUUUGAAGUUCAACUGUUGCAUAAGCAGGUGAUGGAUUUUCUUGGUCACCAUAGCCAUAGCAGGAAGUGGGGGUGUACUGUAUCAGAUAUGGAGGGACCUAGAGCAUUUGCGAAGUGGAGAUUGAUCCAUGAAAACUCCCUUAACUUGGUUUUUGUCAUGGAGACAAGUUACAUGGUGUGAGACAAGUUCGGUAUUUGAAAGGUGCUAUAUAACAUUAUUCAAAAAUUUUAUCUUUUGGACAUGCAUGUUUAUCACUCACUACACAUAUAAGACACAUAAUUCUGUACAACACAGUUACUUAAUUAUACCCAAACCAAUAUAAAGAAAAUUGUCCAUUUUGUGACCAAAAUCACAAAAGGUUAAAUGCAUUCAACAGUAAAUAUAUCAUUUUAUUGUAAUCCCAAUUGUCUGACGAAAUAAGAAUCUGUAUGAACUAUGAACUAUUCUAAUACAACGAUUGACUUUGAUUCAUUCUGAUGUAUUAUGAGAAUAAGUAAAUGCAAGCUGCAUUCCUGCUCCUAUAUAAUUGAAAAAUUUAUGUGUAAAUUAACAACGCUCCUAAAAUGGCAUAAAUUGAUACUAUGAUUCUCUUAAUUAGCGGCUUUUUUUCCACUUUAAGAUGUUUCUGAUUGACUUUGGAGAUUAAGUGAAUAAGGUCCAACAAAGAGGCUGCUGCUGAUAAUUCUCCAUGCUUGUUCCUCCUCCUCCUCCUCCUCCUCCUCCUCAUCAUCAUCAUUUUCAGAUGAAUAAUGGGGUGGUGGCAGCUCAAAAUCCUCGCUGUGAGAUCUUGGAAAUUUAUGGUAAUAUGCUCCUGACAUUGCCAAAGCUUCGAUUGAGAUCGAUAUAUAACUGUAUGUAUACUUGGGGGAUUUUCAGUAAUUUAAAGAUUUGUUGUUCUCCUUGGAAUAAAUUUUAUAAGAUUUCCCAGAACAGCCCACAAUGUAUUCACUUAUUCUAAUGAGCUUACUACAUAAAACAUAAAACGCUUAACAAGCCUGCACAAUUAGAAUGGGAAUCAAAUUUAAAACUCAGAUACGGCAGGCAUUCGACCACAAAUUACAACAUAGGCUCAGCCACUUGGGCCAGCCUUAGACGGGCGCCCCUCCAAGGUGCAAUGGAGGUCGCCUUGUCUUCCAAUAUUGAAUGAGUUUCCUACCGAUUUGGGAUGAAAGAAUCUAUUAAAAUGUUGUAUUUCACCUUGUAUUCCCAAUGAAUUUCAAGUGUUAGACGGAAGGCCAAGUCAAGGCGGAGGAUUGUAACUGGAAAUUCAAGCUCUGUCACCCUCGCACCAUAUUUUGAAUCAAGGGCUUUGAUGCCCCGAUUCUUAUCUUUAAUAAGGUCGCAUUGAGCAGGCUCUUCAGCUUAGAUUAUUUGAUGUUUAAGAAUCUGCUGAGAUGUUAAUAAUGUUUCAUCUCUAUGUUUAUGUUAUAUGUCUUGUUAAACUGAUGUCAAUCUUAUCUGACCACAGUUCAACAAAACAUGUUUUUCUUUUAUACAGAUUAUAAAAUGUUUUUCCUUACAAUCUAUCUUACUAAGUAAUUCCUUUUAUAUACCCUAUCUACAAGAAGCAUUUUGAGUAAUUAGUGAUUUUUUUUUUUGAAAUCUUGAUUGCAUUUGUAUGAUUGGUUUUAAAAUGAAACUGCAUUUGAGUUGUGGUUUGUAAGAUGUAUAUUUAUUUAAUAUGCUGAGAAAAAUUAUAUGUGAUGUUAAAUCUAUUAUGGUUCAAAAUGGAAUUCACUAGUAAGACACAAGCUAAAUAGUUUUUCUGUCAAAAGUAGAAUUUGCACAGCUUCUUUUUUUCUCUUUCCUUUGAUAAUGGUUGGUAUAUGCGCUAAUAUUUAGACGUAUCCCCAACCAAAAUCCAACCCAAUUAAUGGUUUAAUUCCAACCCAACAAAAACCGAUCAAGUUUGGGUGGGUUGAGUUGGUCGGUUUAUUCUGUCAAAAGUAGAAUUUGCACAGCUUCUUUUUUUCUCUUUCCUUUGAUAAUGGUUGGUAUAUGCGCUAAUAUUUAGACGUAUCUAUACAAAGUAAAAAUUGAGCGGAAAAUGGAGAAACAAGGAAUGCCAAUAAUAAAGAGAAUUUCAAUUGACUUCAAGAAUGGUAGCCAAGACAUUUCCACAAGACUAAACUUGUUCCUAAACGGCUUGAAAAGUGACCCGGGGUUUCGGCUAAAUUAAAGUUGGAUCUGAUUAUUUUUGUGUUCAAUUUGAAUAUAUUUUUAAAGUUUGAAAUUACUUGAAAAUCUCUAUUUUUUUAAAACAUAUAUAAGAAAUUCUUUCUGAAAAAUAAUAUGUAAAUAAAUUUAAAAUUUAUGAAGCAUUUUCUUUUUUUACAAUUUUUUGGGAUUUAUUCAUUUCUGAAAAUAAUUUAAAGUGAGAAGAAUUCAACGCCAGGAAAAUUAAUUCAUUUACAGAUUGUUGCUAGGGACCAAAUCUCAAAUUUGCGUGAACUACUCUAAUAAAAACGAAUGACUAUGAUACAUAAUUCUCUGUAACAUUUCCAUGUAUAUCACCCUAAAUUAAUGUGAUUUUCUUUCCACUUUGAGAAGCUUCUGAUUGAUUCUGGAGAUUAUGCAAACAAGGUCCAAGUCCAACAGAGAGGGUGCAGCCUGUUUGUCGUCAUUAUUUUCAGAUAACAAAUGGUAUGGUGGCAGCAUAAAAUCCUCGUGGUCAAAAUCUACCGGUACUCACAAAUCCAGUUUGACCCCGUUCACAUAAAAGAACGAACAUUUAACAGCCCGGAAAUUGUUCCAUUAGCUUGGUCCGCUGAGCUUUCCGCGUAGAAUUCUAGCAGACCCAUAACCCAAGAAUAGGCUCAUAACUUAGACUAGAAUUGGGCAGGGGCCGCGCGAACGCAGGCCCCCUCUACCACAAAUUAUGACGUAGGCUCGACCACUUGGGCCGACCUUAGACGGGCGCCCCUCCCAAGUGCAAUGGAGGUCGCCAAUCUAGGCCAUGGGCCUUCAUGAUCACUCAUCGACCCCG
rnacentral:lncRNA from 1 species